GGGGCUGAUUCUGGAUUCGACGGGAUUUGCGAAACCCAAGGUGCAUGCCGAGGGGCGGUUGGCCUCGUAAAAAGCCGCAAAAAAAUAGUCGCAAACGACGAAAACUACGCUUUAGCAGCUUAAUAACCUGCUUAGAGCCCUCUCUCCCUAGCCUCCGCUCUUAGGACGGGGAUCAAGAGAGGUCAAACCCAAAAGAGAUCGCGCGGAUGCCCUGCCUGGGAUUGAAGCGUUAAAACGAAUCAGGCUAGUCUGGUAGUGGCGUGUCCGUCCGCAGGUGCCAGGCGAAUGUAAAGACUGACUAAGCAUGUAGUACCGAGGAUGUAGGAAUUUCGGACGCGGGUUCAACUCCCGCCAGCUCCACCA
rnacentral:tmRNA from 1 species